AAGCUCGUAGUUGAAUUUCGGGAUUAGUGCGUCGGUCGUGCCUUAGGUACGUACUGGUGUUACUGGUUCCUACCUUCUGACGAACCAUCAUGUCAUUAAUUUGGUGUGGUGGGGAAUCAGGACUGUUACUUUGAAAAAAUUAGAGUGUUUAAAGCAGGCUCGCGCUUGAAUACAUUAGCAUGGAAUAAUGAAAUAGGACGUUGAUCCUAUUUUGUUGGUUUCUAGGAUUGACGUAAUGAUUAAUAGGGAUAGUUGGG
rnacentral:rRNA from 1 species